GAGGACGGAGAGGAUACAGCAGCAGCAGCAGCAGCACAUCAUCAUGUAAACGGAGCAUCUCACAGGUUGAGAGAGAGAGAGAGAGAGAGAGAGAGAGAGAGAGAGAGAGAGAGAGAGAGAGAGAGAGAGAGAGAGAGAGAGAGAGAGAGAGAGAGAGAGAGAGAGAGAGAGAGAGAGAGAGAGAGAGAGAGAGAGAGAGAGAGAGAGAGAGAGAGAGAGGGUUGAGAGAGAGAGAGAGAGAGAGAGAGAGAGCACCGCCUGCUUUCCUUCAGUGCUGAACGGGAUGAUACGGGAUGCGCAUCAGCACCGGGACCGGUGAAUAACAGCCACCGUCCAUUUCAACAGGCCUGGUGUUGCCAGGUGUUAAUCAUUAAAUGUGAAUGAUUGAAGUGAAGUGAAGAGGGGGAAAAAACCGCAACUCUCUGGAGAAAAAGGACAGCUUUGCUUCAGCUCAGAGGAUGAAGUGAAGGGAUUUAUUUGCAACUAUUUGUGGGGAAUUGUUGGGUUUCCACUAUAGUCCAUGGUUGCCCUAAACAUGAGGAUGAUUUGGCCGAGGAAAGAUCAGCUUUACCUGGACUGCUGCUGAUCUUUGCCAUCGGAGGGAGAUCCGGAAAAGUACCAAAUAAGGAGGAAACAUUGAAUGACUCACUGACACAAGCAAACUAACACGUUCCUUGUUUGAAAACGACACCAGUGGCUACAAAGGAGAACCUACAAACAACACCUCAGUGUGCGGUGACCACACUGUCCCGUGUGUGUGUAUGACAGUAUAUACGCUUUCUGCAAAGGCUCAGGCCACCUUCUAUACAUCUAUACGAGAUGAGAAGUUAAUAGCUACCACAAGCAGCCAGAUCAGACGUCCCCCUGUGAUGCAAGAUGGAUUAGAGCCCGACACCUCAGGAGAUCAAAGGUGGCUGUGACAGGGGCAUCCCCGGGGCAGGACCCAUGAGGAGUCAUAGAAGAUGCUCACAGCCUGGGCGCUUCUGCUCUUCUUAGCGAUGUGGGUGAGAUGCAC
ensembl:lncRNA